GAAAACUAUACACAGAAAACUUACAAAUAUUGGAUAACACUGGUCUAGCUACUAUAACAAUUAGCAUCACACAAAAUUCACUCUGGUGCUGUUGGCAAGACAAUAAUGGGUUUUGUAAUAAAUGUGGUUCCAAUAUUUUGAUGAGUUGACCGCAUGUUCUGUUGAAAGUUAAAUGUGGUAACACCUCUUGUGUUAUUUCAGCAAUUCUUUUGACGAGUCCUACAAAAGGUUCGUUGGGAUACAGUAAACCUCCACGAUCUUGGAGUGUGAUUAAUUUCAUUAGAGGUCCAGCUUUAAAAUAAUGUAUCCCGACAGGAAAGCCACAGAGGCAGAGAAUAGAUUUGGCUCUGGUAUUUCAUUCUUUUUUAAAUUGUGUAUUUUAGUUCGUAGUGUCGCUGGUAAAAGUAUUUCUUCAAAGUCUUCAUCAAUAUUUUGUGGUCUCACACGAGAAAGUUGGUUACGGCUUAUAUUACUUAUAGUUCUUGCUGUGUUGGCAGAAGUCGAUGAUUUUAAAAUACCAGAGCGCAAAAUUUGCCGUAAACCAUA